rnacentral:rRNA from 1 species
UUCCGUAGGUGAACCUGCGGAAGGAUCAUUAACACUAAUCCAUCUCAACUCAACCAAGCCCUCAGUUGUAGCAGUUUCGGCUGCUGCAGCACAUUUCAAAACUAAUUAAACAAAGACGCCUAAUUAAGCUUAACCACAAAAACCAAAUUCUCAACGGUGGAUGUCUUGGUUCCCACGACGAUGAAGAACGCAGCGAAGUGCGAUAAGCAGUGCGAAUUGCAGAACCGUGAGUCAUCAGAUUUUUGAACGCAACUGGCGCCUUGCGGGGUCACCCGCGGGCACGCCUGGUCCAGUGUCUUGUUCUCUCCUCACCCAAAUCAUAAUGCGAGUGAUGCCCUUCACUCGUUAAGCAUGAAAGCACUCUGUGUCCUGCGAGCAGCCUUCGGGUUGCACUCAAUGCAGCAGUCACAUUGCUCACAAUGUGAACUCAUUGAGAGUAGGCGCAGUGGAGCAAUAGCUCCCAGUGCUUAGAAACCCCAACUUUGGUACAGUAUCUGGGCUCAGGCGGGACUACCCGCUGAACUUAAGCAUAUCAA